GCCGGGCGCGGUGGCUCACGCCUGUAAUCCCAGCACUUUGGGAGGCCGAAACGGGUGGAUCACCUGAGGUCAGGAGUUCGAGACUAGCCUGGCCAACAUGGUGAAACCCCGUCUCUA
rnacentral:SRP_RNA from 1 species